rnacentral:tRNA from 1 species
ACUUUCAUAGGAAAAAAGCACUCCGCUAAUUUUAGGCAUUAGACACUCUUGGCGCAACCCCAAGUGAAAGUA